GUUAAUCGGAAUUACUGGGCGUAAAGCGUGCGCAGGCGGUAAUGUAAGACAGAUGUGAAAUCCCCGGGCUCAACCUGGGAACUGCAUUUGUGACUGCAUCGCUGGAGUGCGGCAGAGGGGGAUGGAAUUCCGCGUGUAGCAGUGAAAUGCGUAGAUAUGCGGAGGAACACCGAUGGCGAAGGCAAUCCCCUGGGCCUGCACUGACGCUCAUGCACGAAAGCGUGGGGAGCAAACAGGAUUAGAUACCCUGGUAGUCAAGGGCG
rnacentral:rRNA from 1 species